UNNGNNNUANUCUGAUGCAGCCAUGCCGCGUGAGUGAAGAAGGCCCUUGGGUUGUAAAACUCUUUUUUCAGGGGAGAAAAUGACUGUACCCGAAUAAGAUUGUCCGGACUGUAUCAUGCCACCACCCCCGGUUAUACGAAGGGACCUACGGUAAUUCGGAAUUACCGGGCUUAAACAGUACUUAUGUGGUUGAAAAAGUUCGCGGUGAAAUCCCUAAGCUUAACUCUAGAACUGCCAUCUAAACUUUUCAACUGCAUUUGAUUCUAGGAAACCUGAAUUUCUAUUGUAUAGGUGAAAUUUGUAGAGAUUCGAUAGAAUACCUAUUGCUAACGCAGAUUUCUGGAUGAUUACUGACACUGAUGAACGAAAACUUGCGCUGAUAAAAGAAUUAGAUACCCUCGUACUCCAUGCCAUACACUAUGUGUGUUAGACGUUGGAGAUUUAUUUUAAAUGUCUGGACUAAAUCGAUAAACACACCGCCUGGGGAGUACGAC
rnacentral:rRNA from 1 species